GAUGAACGCUAGCGAUAGGCUUAACACAUGCAAGUGGAGGGGCAGCAUUAUCUUAGCUUGCUAAGAUAGAUGGCGACCGGCGCACGGGUGCGUAACGCUGUAUGCAACCUGCCUGUAAUUAGGGAAUAACCCGGUGAAAGUCGGACUAAUACCCUAUAUUCUUCUUUCUCCGCAUGGAGGAGGACGGAAAGAUUUAUUGAUUACAGAUGGGCAUGCGUCCCAUUAGCUGGUUGGUAAGGUACGGGCUUACCAAGGCAACGAUGGGUAGGGGGACUGAGAGGUUGACCCCCCACACUGGUACUGAGACACGGACCAGACUCCUACGGGAGGCAGCAGUGAGGAAUAUUGGUCAAUGGGCGAGAGCCUGAACCAGCCAAGUCGCGUGAAGGAGGACGGUUCUAUGGAUUGUAAACUUCUUUUGUAGAGGAAUAACGGCAGCUACGUGUAGCUGAGAUGCAUGUACUCUACGAAUAAGUAUCGGGCUAAGUCGUAACAAGG
rnacentral:rRNA from 1 species